rnacentral:snoRNA from 1 species
GGUGUCCAUGAUGACAACUGGCUUCCUCUACUGAACAACUCUGAGGAAAAUGCCAUGUCACCCUUCCCACACA